rnacentral:rRNA from 1 species
GCAUGCUCAGUACGGCGAGUGAGCGGCAAAAGCUCAAAUUUGAAAUCUGCGUAAGCCGAGUUGUAAUUUGAAGAUGGCUACUUUGGUAAUGGCUCUUGUCUAUGUUCCUUGGAACAGGACGUCACAGAGGGUGAGAAUCCCGUGCGAUGAGAUGUCCAUUACCGUGUAAAGUGCUUUCGAAGAGUCGAGUUGUUUGGGAAUGCAGCUCUAAGUGGGUGGUAAAUUCCAUCUAAAGCUAAAUAUUGGCGAGAGACCGAUAGCGAACAAGUACAGUGAUGGAAAGAUGAAAAGAACUUUGAAAAGAGAGUGAAAAAGUACGUGAAAUUGUUGAAAGGGAAGGGCUUGAGAUCAGACUUGGUAUUUUGUAUGGCUUGCUUUCGGGCGGGUCCUCUGCAGUUUACUGGGCCAGCAUCGGUUUGGGUGGCAGGAUAAUAGCAUAGGAAUGUGGCUCUACUUCGGUGGAGUGUUAUAGCCUUUGUUGAUACUGCCUGCCUAGACCGAGGACUGCGUCUUUUGACUAGGAUGCUGGCAUAAUGAUCCUAAGCCGCCCGUCUUGAAACCACGGACCA